GUGCGGUGUGGUGAUAUGGUAGGUCUGGAAAGUGGGAUGUGUAGGUGCGGUGUGGUGAUAUGGUAGGUCUGGAAAGUGGGAUGUGUAGGUGAGGUGUGGUGAUAUGGUAGGUCUGGAAAGUGGGAUGUGUAGGUGAGGUGUGCCAUGGUGCUGGUAGGCCAGUGAGCAAGUGCAGAUGAGAAAUGCUAGCUAGCGUUGUUGCUGUGUAUUCCGCCAUGUUCUCUGCAGAAUACAAAGGUUCCUAUUUCUAUGAUUGAAAAUAAAGAUAUUGUUGCCAAA